GAUUACCAGAAAUCCUUUUUGUUUAAAGUGUACGAGGGUGAGAGACCGUGUUCCAAAGAUAACAACUUACUGGGUGAACUAACACUCCAUGGCAUACCUUCUGGCCUGAGGGGUGAAGUUAAAGUCAUUGUUACGUUUAACAUUGAUCUAAAUGGGGUGUUACAUGUUACCGCGGAGUGUAAGAUUAAUGGGGUGAAGACGAAUGCAACAAUAACCAACGACAAGGGAAGACUUACAGCGAAUGAGAUUGAGAGGAUGAUACGAGAUGCUGAGACUUACAGAGCAGAAGAUGAGUUGUUUAAGAAAAAUAUCAAGGCAAUGAAUGCAUAUGAAGAUUAUGCAUAUAACCUGAGGAGUUCCAUUAGAGCUUCAUGCAAUCUUAACCCAGCAACUAAGAUGAAGGUGGAGAAUGCUAUCCAGGAGGCCAUUCAGUGGGUUAAUGCUAAUAGGAGUGCUGAAGCUGCUGAGUACAACUCUAGAAAGAGUGACCUAAGAGCUUUUUUUAAUUCUAUGAUUCCAAGCCAUACAGGCAUCAAGAUUGAGGAAGUUGAAUAAUUUUCGGAUUCUGAUAUUUCUUUUGUGUAUGGUGGAAUUUUUUGAAAACUGGCUUGCAUAUGGUGGAAGACUAUAUUAAAAUUUGAUGUAGAAUGUAAUGGAUGAUGAUGGUCUGUUCAGACUUCUAGUAUUUUAAGCAAUUGUCUCUGUUUGUUGCAUCAUGUUCAAGAGCUCUGUAGCCACUCAUAGAACCCUUUAUUGUUAUGAAAUUUUAUUCUUAUUGUUACAAAAGUAUAAUGCAAGUGUUCUAUUUAAGUUAGGAAAUUCUAAGAUUAUGGAAUUUUUAAUGAUAGAAAUAUUAAUAGGAUAAUUUAUAAAAUGUCGUUUGUAGACAGUAGGAUGUUAGUGCGAUUUGUCGAAGUUUUGUUUGAUAAAUUUUAUUACAAAAUUUAUUAUUCAAAUCCUUUAAAAAUUUUGCAUUUCAUAAGUUCACAACUACAGAAUUCAUGAGUCUACUAGUUUGGUUCUCUCAUUUCACGUAAAUAAAAUCUUUUAGUUUUUAAAAGCUAUUUUGUGAUAAUAAAAUAAUUUUAAAACAGUAUUCCUCCAUUAUUUAAAUAAUUAUCUAUAUUUUACUGUUGAUCGAUAAAAUUGAUGAGUGACCUAAUCAAUAUACUUAUAUAAAGGAGAAGCGUGACUUAUAUAAAGUAGAAGCGUGGGGCGUGUAGGUGGCGCCUCUCACAUCGCUCCGUUCUAUUUUUCUAAUUUUCUAGAAUUUUUGGAUAAAAACUAUCAGAAAUUAGAACUAUCUUUUUUAGUUUCUGAUAUAUUAGAAGCAAGUUUCAGAAUCUAAUUUUGUUUCAUAAUCUAAUUUUGUUUCAGAUUAUUUAUGGAAUACUACUUUUUUUAGUUUCGAAUAUAUUACAAGCAAGUUUCAGAAUCUGAUUUUGUUUCAGAUUAUUUAUGGAAUAUGGUAUCUUCAAAGUUUUAAUCUGAUUUUGUUUCAGAUUAUUUAAUUAUGAGAAAGAGUGACACACAAGUCUCUCCGCACCUAUAAAUACCCCCUAUAGGUUGUAGGUUAGAUCAUCUAAAUACAAUCUCCUCUCUCUCUCAAUAUCACAACCCUACCUCUCUCAAUAUCACAACCCUACCGCUCUCUGGUGAUAAUAACUACCUUUUUUAGUUUCUGAUAUAUUAGAAGCAAGUUUCAAAAUCUAAUUUUGUUUCAGAUAAUUUAUGGAACACCAAAAAUUGCUCCGUUAUAUAGUAUUAAAAAAAAAGUUGUUACAAGUAAGGGUAGUUAUAGUCUUAUAGACCACUGUCUCACGGAUUUAAGUUAGAUGUUUUUGUGCACAAUCAAUCCAAAAAAAAUUGAGGUAAGGUGACAAUGUAAGAACAUGAUUACUUUUUUAAAAAAAACACAAAUAAAAUUAAGAUCCGUCGUUCUUUGAAUUGUUAAUUACGUGUGGAAAUUUAUUUUCAUUUUUUCACCAUGAAUUAUAGUUCAAUUUUACAAUUUUAUAUAUUAGUAUUGAUAUUACAUCAAGAUUUUUAUAAUAUAAAAUUUAUUUUAUUCUAUAAAUUUUAAUUUUGAAUCAUUAAUAUACUUUUUAUAAAUAGUCACAAAAUUAUUACAUUUUACAAAUAUUAAUAUUAAAUUAUUAAUAUUAUUUUUAUAGGCCGCCGCAACGCGCGGUAUCUCAACUAGUUAUAUAUGUGUGUGUGUAAUAUAAUUAUAAAAAAUAUAUAAAAUGAUCAGUAAUAUAAUACAAUUUACUUUAAAAUCUAAUUCUCAAAUAUCUAAAAUUUUAUUAAUAUAUUAAAUUUCAAAAUUUUAUCAAUAUAAUUUUUAAAUAUCUGAUGCGGGUUUAUGUUUUAACAAAACAUUUGGGAAUUUGGGCUGGGCUAAAACCUUAAACUGUCCAAGAUUGUUCAACUCAGGAAAGGCCCAAUAGAAAAACCCUAAAAGACUAGGGUUCACUGUAUAAGGUAUACGAUUAGAUACAAAAAGCUGGGUGUACACAAUCUUCAACCAUUUUAUCUCGUUAUUGUUUGUCGUUUGUUGGCAUUAGGGAUGGGCAUUCACCCCGCCCCGCUCGAUCCCGAUCCGAUCCCCGCCCUGUUCGGGUCGGGGAUUCGGGAAAUUUUUCGAGGGCGGGGCGGGGAUCGGAGAAAUUUUUAUAAAAAAUUCGGGGAUCGGGGCGGGGUCGGGGAUUGGUGUCUCCCCGCCCCNAAUAAUAUAUUUAUAUAUAUUAUAUUAAAUAUAUUAUUAAAAAUAGAUAACCUUCAUAAUAUAAUUAAAAUUAUAAAAUAAUCUUUGUUUUUAUUGAUUGAUUAUAAAUAUAUUGUAAUAUAAUAUGUUUUAUAAUUUUAAAUUGUCGUUUAUUUAUAUUAUAAAUCAUUUUUAAUACGAUUUGAUGUUGAAAAUAUAAAAUAAUAUUAUUUUAUUAUUAUAUUAGGAGUUAGUAGUUUGUUUUUUAAUUAAAAAAUAUAUUAUAUAUUAUAAAGUUAUUAUAUUUUUAUUAAAAAGUAAAAUUCUCCGAAACCUCGCGGGGAUCCACGUUCCCCGUUCGGGGCGGGGAUCGGGGAAGAAAAUAAUCCCCGUUCGGGGUUCGGGACGGGGUCGGGAAGGGGUAUUGAAUUCGGGGAUCGGGAUCGGGGAUAGCACUCCCCGCCCCCGAAGUGUCCCCGUGCCCAUCCCUAGUUGGCAUUAAUCAAGUAAGAUGGAUUUUUUUGUUAAUGCGUAUUUGAAUAAUUAGUAAUGAUUAUUUAAGAACUAGUCUAGUGUAGUUUAAUUAUUUUAGAAUUUAAAUUGAAAGAAAAAACGUGUGAAUAAUAGUUAGGGGGAAAUUUGGAUAUUGUUUGAUGAAUAUUUUAUUAUUAAAGUAGUAUUUUUUAAAUUUUGGUAAACAUUUUUCAAAUUGUCAAAUAAAUACUAUAAAUUAUUCUAUAAUAGUAUAGCGAGACACGUGGAAAAAAAUAUAUUCCAAAAGAUUAAGUUUAGGAAUUAAGUUAUAUUCCAAUAAACAAACAAAGUCUAAAAUCUAAGGUCGUGUUCUAUUAGAUAUAACAGAUGAUGAGACUUUAACGAAAAAUUAUUGAAGAAUUUUAUGAAAAAAGAAGAGAGCAUGAAAAAUAAUGAUUAAAUGGAAUUGAAUUCAAAUUUUAAUGAUAAAAAUGAGCAAUAUUUUAUAGUUGAAAUGAAAUGAUUCUCUUAUUAUAAAAUGAAAUGAUAUUUAUCCUUGUUUCAAAUUAUCAAGCAAUACAUUUAAAAAAAAGAAAAUGCUAAGUAUUUCGAAAAAAUAUUCUCAAAAAAAAAUAAUUCAAAUCCAAGUUAAUUAAACAUAACACGUAGCAUUACCCUUUAAAAAAAUCCCAAUAAACAUCACCAGCUCUCCACCUAACGAGAACAGCUACAUUUGUGUAAAUAAUAAUAGGACACUCUAUUCACCGAAUAUUUUACAAAACGCAUAGAGACUUUCUUUGCUUUCAAACUUCCUGACAGUGACCUCCAAUUAGGCGAUUAGGACCGUGAAUCGAUACAGAUUAUCUGGUAUCUCGGCUUAUAUUUAACUCGAAAAUAUGAUAUAUGUCACAUAUCUGUUUUGAAAAAUCCGAAUUUGAUGGAAAAAUUAACCUUUUAAAAUAUAUGAUCUUAGAUAUGAGCCCUACUAUAUCUACUCAAAUUAGGUCUCAUAUAAAUUUUUACAAUAUGAUCUUUUCCGAAUACCCGAAUAUGAGUCAUGGCUCAUAUUCGAUUGUAACUCAUAUACCUAUUAUAUUUUUAAUCCAUCACAUUUGUAAGUUAAUAGUUAUCAUUUUAUAAAAUUUUAAUAUCCUAUUUAAGUUUAAAUCUUCAUAAAAUAUGAUUUAUUUAAUGAUAAUGCUUAUUAUCUUCGUAUAUAUUUAAUAAAUUAUAUAUAUCUACAUAUAAUUGUACGUUUCAAUUUAAAAUUAUUAUAUUUUAUAAUAUUAUGUUUAUUUAGACUAAAUAAUAAUUAUUCGAAUAGCUGAAAUAAUAAUGGUAUUUAAUGUUAUUGGAUCAUAUUCGAUGGAUCAUAAACUACCCAGUUAAUAAAUAGAAAGUUAAUAAAUAGAAAGUAUAAUACUGGAUCAUAUUUGGUUUAGAUCUGAAACUCAAAUAUCCAAGAUUGGUUUAUAUACGAAUAAAAUGAUCUCAAAUCCAAAUCUGGACAACUAAACAUUAAUAUGAUCUGAUAGUUGAGUAUAGGGAUAGCGGAUAUCAACCGGAUCAUUUCACGGCCUUAUUCCACUCGCCAAUCACUCUACCCCGACCGAAGAAAAUUAUAUAAUUUUUAUAUAAUUUUUCUCUAAUACCCUCACAAAUUUUAUUUCAUUCGUCGCAUUUCAUUCUAUUCAUAUGAACACAGUCUUAGAGCAAGUCCAAUGGUGAGCUAUAUCUUGUGCUAUAUCUAUAUUAUAGCUCAAAAUCAAAAAAUUUCAACUCCAAUGGUGUGCUAAACUUGGUGCUAAAAUAGCAUAUUGCUAUAGUUGGUGCUAUAUUUAGCACAAACUAUAGCAAUAGCUAUAAUUGCCACCUCAUCAAAAAGUAAAAAAGUGGAGGGAAAUGAAUAAAAAAUAGAUUUAUAUCUCAACCUAUUCAAGUACAUGAAUGCACAUAUAUUAUUUUAGCACAAGAUAUAGCACCAACCAUUGGAGAUGUGAUAUUAUUUUAGCACCAAAAACCACUUUUUGAUGCUAUAUUAUAGCAAUAGCUACACCUAUUUUUAGCUCACCAUUGGACUUGCUCUUACAGUCUCGAGCGUUUAAAGAUACUAAACAUUUUUAAGUUCCUGCUGCUACGGUUAAUUAAUUUGGGAAAAGAGAAUAGAUCUGGAGUUUACAUUUUGUCUAUUUCUCAUCUAUAUUUUUCCUCUUAAAAUUAUAAUUAUUUUGAUUGUUUCUUAAAAGAUUAAAAGGAACACUUUUGCAUAUUAAUUUUAACUAUUUCCGAGAUAAAAUUAAAUGUUAAAAUAUAUUUUUAACCCCUCAAAAUAUAUCAAAAAGCUGAGAAGCGAAAGUAAACGAUCUUUUUUUUUUUUUGACAAAUGCAAUAAAAUUUCAUUAACUUGAAUAUAAUACAGUCGGGACAAACCCCCAACUAUCGAUACAACCAGGUGGUAAAACAAAUAGCAUGCUAAAAACAAUUAGAUGAUUUGUUUCCUGAUCGUUUAACAGAUAGAAUUCAAAAAUUCUUGAAGCUAAGAACGAAAUCAAAGACAUCCCAAGCGAUCCAAAUUGCACCAAAAUCUCUCGAAACAGUAAAAUCGCAAUUGACCAUAUCACAUAAAAACUAUUAAUAGCCAGAAACACCAAUCGCAUAAAUCGAGAUUGGAGAAGUGGCACCACAGCUAUCUACAUGCCGGAUACCAGCUAUAGACUUGCCGAAGGCACCCCAGCUAUCUACAUGCCGGAUACCAGCUAUAGACAUGCCGAAAAUGUAAACCCGUGAAUGAUGAACAAUCUUUGGUUGUGAAAGGUGAGCUCUUGCAAUAAUCAUCACCGUCCCAGAUUCGAUACAGUUUUUGUAGAUCACCAAAAAUAUCAAUAAACUCGUUUUCAACAGAUCCAACACGAAAUAAACCCAAUCAUGACUAAACAAAGACAUAACAAACACUCCAAAAGGAGAGACACAACCACACACUCCAAGAGGAAAGACACACAAACACCCAAAAGAUUGAGUUUUAUUGAAAAGAAAUUAACGAGAGUAAAGAUAGAUAAUGAAGGGGUUGGGGCUUUCCACCGGAGAAAACCAAUGGAAGCCCCUCGAUUUACUUGAAAAAGGACAAACUCUAAUGGAGGAGGAAGAGAGGAGAGGCGUCUUGGAUUUUUUACUAAAAUUAGAUUUUUUUAGUAAACGAUCUUUGGCGCUUGCAGAUUGCAACUUGUACUGUACAUCAAAUUAACGUCAAACAUGUUACGAUGGGUUGUGUUGACUAAAUUGAUUCGGAUAUAUUAAUGGGGUUAUUUUUAUUUUUGAGAAAUAAGUAAGUAUAUAAUUUUUUAUUUUUUCUUGAAUAAAUUCUUAUUUUUUAUUGAAACGUCUGUUUAAUAUUUAUAUGCCAAAAAAUAUUAAAAAAUGUAUUUUCCGAAAUAAAUAAGCCCUUAAAUUAGAAAAGUAACAUUCGCCACACACAACCAAUAUAAGUUGAGAAUCAACUGAAAUUUGAUGACUAUCGUGAAACAAUAACUUAUUAUCAUCAUAAAUUAUUAUUGAUCACUUUUUUGUGAAAAUUUAAUUUUCACUUUUAAACGUCAGAAAUGCACGCACAGGACGAUGGUAUACUAUGGGAUGUUUGGCUGAGUUUUUAAGCCCGACUUCUGGAUUUAUAAGUUAAAAUCGCUUAUUUGUACUCUUUGCAUAAAAAGUUAAAAAAUAUUUAUAAAACGUUAAGAAUGUUAACUUUUGUUUCACGACUUCUACUUAUUUUUCCAACACUUUAAUCAUUUAUAAGUUUUAACUUGUUUCUCACUUUUAUUUCACUUCUUUAUUUUAAGCAAGAAAUACUUAUUAUAAACUCAGCCAAACGGACUCUAUAUUUUUUAAUUUCUUGAAUAAUACUUUUUCCUUCCCCCGAUCGCUACUAUUUCCAAAAUUUCUUUGUGAUGGUAAUAUAGUAUUAACGUGAUUACGUGGGCAACUAAAAAGUCUCACACAAGGCAGCCGCCUCUCCUCUCUUCCUCUUCUACUAGGGUUCGAGGGGUUUGGUGGAAAGCCCCAACUCUUUUAUUAUCUAUUUUUACUCUCGUUAAUUUUUUUUCAAUAAAACCCAAUUUUUUGGGUGUUUGUGUGUCUCUCCUCUUGGAGUGUGUGGUUGUGUCUCUCUUUUUGGAGUGUUUGUUAUGUCUUUGUUUAGUCAUGAUAUCAUUUACGGGUUUACACUUUCGGCAUGUCUAUAGCUGAUAUCCGGCAUGUAGAUAGCUGGGGUGCCCAUUCUCCAAUCUCAAUUUAUGUGGUUGGUGUUUCUGAACAUUGGGCUAUCAAUAGUUUUUAUGUGAUAUGGUCAAUUGCGAUGUUACUGUUUCCAGAGAUUUUGGUGCAAUUUGGAUUGCUUGGGAUGUCUUUGAUUUCGUUCUUACCUUCAAAAAUUAUUGAAUUCUAUCUGUUAAACGAUCAGGAAACAAAUCAUCUAAUUGUUUUUAAUUGUUUUGAGCAUGCUAUUUGUUUUACCACCUGGUUGUAUCCACAAUUGAGGGUUUGUCCCGACUGUAUUAUAUUCGAGUUAAUGAAAUCUUCUUGCAUUUGUCAAAAAAAAAAAAGUCUCACACAGGGCAAGUGGCUGGGCCAGGGAGCAGAAUACAAAAGAGUAAAAAAAUUUAGAAGUAUUUAUAGAAAGUUAAAAAUAUUACAAUUUUUAUUUCUUUUCUAAAGAGUUUAAUACUCACUUCGUCCCAAAUUAGAUGAGCUAGUUGAUUUUGGACACGUAAUUUAAAGUGCAUUGGCCGUAUAGUUCUGAAAUUUAUUUUUUUAAUUUUUCUUUUGAAAAUGAAAAUUUUAUAUUUAAAUUUUUAUUUGCAAAAAUAAAAUUUUAAGAAAAAGUAAUAUAGCUAUGCGGUCAAUAAACUUUAAAAUGCGUGCCCGAAAUCAACGAGCUCAUCUAAUUUGGGAUGGAGGGAGUAAUUUAUGAUUCUUAACUUGUUUCUCACUUUCGAUUCACUUUUAUAAUUUAAGCAGGAACUCAUUUUUUUAAGUCCUGGUUGCACUUCUCUAUGAAACCCACUGGUUGCACUUCUCUAUAAGAAGACUCGAUAAACCUGAAUACGAGUACAAGAGUUCUAUAGAAAAAGCAUUUUUUGUUGCACUGUUUGAUAAGUUACCGUCUUACAGAUAUCUAUUUCUUUGUUCUGUAUUUUGGUUCUGAUAUAAAGUUGCAUGUGAAGAUGGCUGAAUAUGGACCUGCAGUUGGGAUUGAUCUGGGAACAACCUACUCUUGCGUCGGAGUUUGGCAACAAUAUCGAGUUCAAAUCAUUGUUAAUGAUCAGGGUAACAGAACUACUAGGGAUGGUCAUUAAUCCCGACCCGCCCGAUCCCGACCCGAUUCCCGCACCGAAUGAUGCGGAGAUUCAGGGAUUUUUCCGGGUACGGGCCGGGGAACGGGGAUGACUUUGGAAAAAAAUCGGGGAUCGGGCCGGGUACGGUUUUUCACAUUCCUCCGGCCCGAUCCCCGAUCCCCUACCCGAUUUUCCCCGAUUGUCGGCCCGAUCUCCGACCCGAUAAUUAUAUUAUAUUAUAUAUAUAUAUAUAUAUAUAUAUAUAUAUAUAUAUAUAUAUAUAUAUAUGGUGUNUUCAACGGGGAACUCUCCUAUCCUAGUAACCUGGGAACUUUUGAUCUGAACCGUAGAAUAUUACGUGCGCUCACCUAUGUUGAAAACCUAGACACGACGUGCGCGCAUGAUGUUGAACACCCUAGACAUGUGCCACGCUAAGUUUUGCUUUUAUUUUUCAUCUUAUUUACAUCCAUUAGUUUUAAUUUAUUUUACAAUAAUAUUUUUAUGUUUUAAUUUUACAUUUUUUCUAUAUUCUUGAAUUAUGUUAUUUUUUUUAAAUAUGUGAAAAAGGAGGAUGAACAUACUUAAAAAUAACAGAAAUAUAUUUAUAUAAAAGUAGUACUCAUUUGUCUUAUUUUUCAUAUUUAAAAAAAUAUAGAGCAUAAAAAUGUUAGAAGAAAAAGAAUAUAACAUAAAAAAUAAAUUAAUAAUAAAUAAACUACAAAAUAUGUGGAGAAAAUAUAAAAAGCGAUAUAGACAAGAAAAUACAGAACAUAAAAAAUAUUAUAAAGAAAAAAAGUACAACAAUGUGACAAGAAAGAAUAGUAAAUAAUAAUAUAACAAAAAAAACUACUGAACACGUGGUGAAAAAAUAAAAAGCAAUAUAGACAAGAAAAUACAGAACAUUAAAAUUGUUAUAAAGAAAAAUAGGUACAACAAUGAGACAAGAAUGAAAAUAUAAUAAAAGAAGGUAGAUUAUAUAAUAAAAAAACUACAGAACAUGUGGAGAAAAAAUAAAAAACAAUAUAAACAAAAAAUACAGAACAUAAAAAAUGUUAUAAAGAAAAAAAGUACAACAAUGUGAAAAGAAAGAAUAUAUAAUAAAAAAUUAAAUUAUAUAACAAAAAAACUACAGAACAUGUGAAGAAAGAAUAAAAAUCAAUAUAGACAAGAAAAUACAGAACAUAAAAAAUGAAAAAAAAGUACAACAAUGUGAAAAGAAAGAAUAUAUAAUAAAAAAAUUAAAUCAUAUAACAAAAAAACUACAGAACAUGUGGAGAAAAAAUAGGAGGGAAAUGUGACAAGAAAGAAUAGUAAAUAAUAAUAUAACAAAAAAAACUACUGAACACGUGGUGAAAAAAUAAAAAGCAAUAUAGACAAGAAAAUACAGAACAUUAAAAUUGUUAUAAAGAAAAAUAGGUACAACAAUGAGACAAGAAUGAAAAUAUAAUAAAAGAAGGUAGAUUAUAUAAUAAAAAAACUACAGAACAUGUGGAGAAAAAAUAAAAAACAAUAUAAACAAAAAAUACAGAACAUAAAAAAUGUUAUAAAGAAAAAAAGUACAACAAUGUGAAAAGAAAGAAUAUAUAAUAAAAAAUUAAAUUAUAUAACAAAAAAACUACAGAACAUGUGAAGAAAGAAUAAAAAUCAAUAUAGACAAGAAAAUACAGAACAUAAAAAAUGAAAAAAAAGUACAACAAUGUGAAAAGAAAGAAUAUAUAAUAAAAAAAUUAAAUCAUAUAACAAAAAAACUACAGAACAUGUGGAGAAAAAAUAAAAAUCAAUAGACAAGAAAAUACAGAACAUAAAAAAAUGUUAUUAAACAAAAAGGUACAAUAAUUGAAAAAAAAGAAUAUAUAAUAAAAAAAUUAAAUUAUAUAACAAAAAAUUUACAGAACAUGUGGAGGAAAAAUAAAUUCAGUAUAGACAAAAAAAUACAAAACAUAAAUAAAUUAAAUUAUAUAAAUAUAGUAAAUAAACUACAGAACAUGUGGAGAAAAAAUAAAACUCAAUAUAGACAAGAAAAUAAAGAACAUAAAAAUUUUUUAUAAACAAAAAGGUACAACAACGUGCCUAAAACAAAAAAUUAAAUUAUAUAACAAAUAAAUUACAGAACAUGUGGAAAAAUUAAAUGUGGAAAAUAAAUUAUUUUUUAUAAUAAAUCAUAUACUUCUUUUCUUGUACAGAACACAUAUAAUAGUUGUUCGUGUCUUGUUUUUUUUUUGACGAUAAUCGUACUUGCAUUAAAUUGAAUCAUAUGAAAGUACAUCCAAUAAAAAACCAGGAGCGACAUUUUCCCACUCCUGCGGACCUGACAUAGAACGAGACGCUCGAGCUAACAUGUGAGCGACUUCAUUCGCAGAUCUAUGCACAAAUUGCACUAGCACAUUUUCAAAGUGCUUAAUUAAAUCAACACAUUCCCUAACAAUGAUAUGAAAAUAAGAACACCCUGCACUCCCAUUACAUGCAUCUGCCAACAGCUUUGAAUCUGUCUCAAAUACACAUCGAGUAAAUCCACAUACCUUUGUCCAUGAUAAUACUUCCUUGAGACUCAACGCCUCAGCCUCUCUUGGUGACCACGUACCCUCCACCCGCCUACUUAUCGCCUUCAAAAACUUACCGUUUUCGUCUCGAAUCACACCUCCAACACCAAUGGUAUUGAUGUCCUCGAACACAGCAGCGUCCAUAUUUAUUUUCACCCAUCCUCGUUGAGGUGUCUUCCAUCUUCUUAUUGUUUCAGAUAGUAUCGACAUGCUCCUGGAUUUUUCUAGCUGAGCUUUUUUCCAAUCUGCCAAUAGAUUCGUUGCAGCACUUGUUGUACCAAAGACCGAAACCGCAACUCUGUUCCACAACCAUUUAUUUCGUCGGUUCCAGAGACUCCAACAUACCGCAGCUAUCAAGACACACUGAUCUUUCGUUCCAAUGCUAAACAGUCUGAUGAAGGUAGCCAGUAUCGAUUCCCCUGGUAUGGUUUGCACCCAUUGCAGCAUACCAAUUGAUGCCCACACCUCCUUUGCAAAUUGGCAUUCAAAUAGUACAUGCAUUUCAUCUUCCUUUUCCACCUGGCACCAGCCACACUUAUCAUCUAUGUUAACUCUUUUAUUUACCAGCGCCCUAGCAGUUGGUAAGCAAGCUCUACAUGUUCGCCAUAGGAAAAAGCCCACCUUCCCUGGCAGUGCUAAAUUCCAUAUCUUCCUCCAGAAAACUGCGUUAGAUGUAUCGCAUUCCCCAACCAAUUUCCGGUAACAACUCUUGACUGUGAACUGACCCUUCUCAUCAAAUAGCCAUAGCCAGGAAUCAUUUCUGUCCAUUGUUGAUAAAGGAACAUUCUUUAUUAAACGGACAUCCCUACUAUUAAACAGAUCCUCCAAAAUAUCAUCAUCCCAUCUUCUUUGUUGCCCCUCCAUUAGAUCACACACCCUAAUAUCUUCCAACUCUUGAGGCAUAACUGUCGUUAGAUAUCCAUUUGUCGUGCAUGGGAGCCAAGGAAUUUUCCACACAAAUGUGUCCUUCCCAGUACCAAUACUACGACGACACCCUUGUUUUAAUACCUCUUGAGCUGAUAGAAUACUUCUCCACAUAUAGCUGGGAUUAUCUCCCAAUUUUGCAUUUAAGAAGUCAGUGUUUGGGAAAUACCUGGCUUUAAUAAUGCUCGUAACUAACGGAUUCGACUCAUUUAACAGUCUCCACCCCUGCUUAGCUACCAUUGCAAUAUUAAACUGCUGUAAAUUUUUGAAUCCCAGUCCUCCUGCUUCCUUAACAUCACAGAUCCGAUCCCAAGCCAUCCAACGCACUCCCUUACCUGCAUUUCCAUUUCCCCACCAAAAUCCAUUCAUUUGUCUUUGAAUAUUAGUACAUAUCUCAGCUGGAAUAAGCAUCAGAUUCAUCCAAAAGUUGGGAAUUACUUGUGCUGCCGUUUUUAACAGAACACAUUUACCCGCCUUUGACAUAUUCGUAUUUUUCCACCCUUGUAACUUCUGACUAACACGAUCACUUAAGAAUUUGAACACUUCAUUCUUUUUCUUCCCUAUUGACAUCGGAAGUCCAAGAUAUUUCCCUGGUGACCUACUUUCCUUCACUUCCAACACCCCACAAAUUAAAUUUCUAUCUUCUAGGGAUGUGUUCGGACUAAAAGUGAUGAUAGACUUGCUAAAAUUUACAGCUUGUCCCGAUAGAUUCUCAUAUCUCUGAAUAAUUCUCUUCAUCACCCUCGCUUCUGUUUCAACUGCCCUGAAGAAGAAAUAGCAGUCAUCCGCAAACAACAAGUGAGAUACAGUUGGUGCCUUCCUUGCAAUACUACACCCAUGAAGCAAACCCACCUCCUCAUUUCUCUUGAUUAUAGAACUAAGACCCUCCGCACAAAGUAUGUAAAUAUAAGGAGAUAAGGGAUCCCCUUGUCUAAUCCCUCUUUGAGGCCGAAUAUCCCCAAAGACCUCUCCUUGUUGUAUAAAACUGUACGAAACAGAUUUAAUACACUUCAUAAUUCUGCUAGUCCAUUGCUCAGAGAACCCAAACUUUAUCAACAUACCUUCAAUGAAAUUCCAUUCAAGCCUAUCAUAUGCCUUGGAUAUAUCGAUUUUUAACCCAGCCACACCCUUCCUCCCUUGAGUUCGACGUUUGAUAUAGUGAUUUACUUCGAAUGCAAUCAAGGCAUUGUCUGUUAACAACCGUCCUUCUAUGAAGGCACUCUGAUUAGCCGAAAUCAGCCGUGGCAAGCAUGUUUUCACCCUGUUUGCUAGCACUUUGGAAAGGAUUCUGAACAAGACAUUACAGAGGGAUAUGGGGCGUAAUUCACUCAUCUGUUUCGGUUUCUUUACCUUUGGAAUCAAACAUACUAAGGUACGAUUAAACUCCGGUUGCAGCUCACCUGUUGCAAAAAAAUGUUUACAGAACCCCACCACAUCCUCUUCAACUACACUCCAAUAGGUUUGAUAGAAAGCCGGAUUUAAUCCGUCAUAUCCAGGAGCUUUCUCAGCAUGCAUUGAAAAGACGGCAUCCUUGACUUCCUCAUUCGAGAUACUCUCCAGCAACUGUACAUUUUGUUCUUCUGUAACCGUGUUCACCUUCUCAUUUUUUGAUAAAGAACCUGCUGUCAUUGAAGAUUUAAACAAGUCAGAGAAAUAUUCUGUAAUUAUCUCUUGCAUGCCUUUAGCAUCCUCUACCCAAUUACCAGACCCGUCCUGCAAUCCUGAUAACUGAUUGUUCUUUCUUCUCCCUGUCGCAAAUCUGUGAAAAAACCGUGUAUUUUGGUCUCCUUCCCGUAACCAAAAUUGUUUUGAUCUCUGUUUCCAAUAUAUCUCCUGUCUUUCGAGCAAAUUUAAGAACUCACCCCUGGCAUCAUUAUACUUCUGCACACCAUAGACAUCUCGACGUGAUCGGAACCUUCUCAUGGCCCAUCUACAGUUAUUAAUUUUUUUUCUCAGCUCUUUUAUUGUUCCACCUCCCCAUUCAUCGAGCUUUAGACAGCAGUACUCGAUUUUGUCCAUAAUGUUCCCAAGCCCAUCUUUAUUCCAGCAAUUUUGAAUUAAAUUCUUACAUUCCGGCUCUCGAAUCCAGGCAUUUUCGAACCGAAACCUUCUAGAUUUUGGGACAUAAACCUGCGAAUGUAGCUGUAGCAUUAAUGGCAAAUGGUCCGAAGUUGACACUUCCAGAACUAAAACCUCUGCAUUCGGGAAUAACUGUCUCCAUCUCUGAUUUGCAAGACCCCUGUCCAAUCGUUCUUGUAUCCAUAUUGCUGUUCCGCGAGACCUUUCCCAUGUAAAUUCACACCCAUUAAAUCCAAGAUCUUCAAGCCCACAUUCUAUAACCGUAUUUGUAAAACCCUCUAGUAGACUUCUCGGCUGUGGCCUACCUCCCUGCUUCUCAAAAUCAAACAACAUAUCAUUGAAGUCCCCUAAAACACACCAAGGUAAAUCUGAUUCUGUGGCAAGAGUACGAAGAAGAUUCCAUGAUUCUUGACGUCUUUCCCUUUCCGGACAUCCAUAAAACCCUGUGUACCUCCAUUUACCAAUCUGUUCGCACAAGACCUCAAAGUCAAUGUAGUGAUUACAAGUACCUUUUAUUUCUACCGCCCCUAUAUUCUUCCAUAAAAGUGCUAAACCUCCCCCAUGACCCUGAGCAUCAACAGUAAAAGAUCCAGCAAAGUGGAUGGAUUUACAGAGAGCUUCAAUUUUAUUCUUCUUAACUAACGUUUCUGAUAAGAACACUAAACUGGGCUUAUACUUUUGAAUGAUUUCUUUCAGAAAUCUAACUGCUCGUAGCUUGCCCAUACCACGACAUACAACGGAGUCAAAAAACUUGAAGGUGGCGGGUUCUGGAUCCCAGACCCGCCUAGCAUUAUGAGUAUCCUGGUGUGGAACUGUCGUGGUUCGUGUCUUGUUAGUGGGUAUUAGUGGGGGUUGUUGUACGUGUCUUGUCUCCUAUCCAUGCGCCGUGUUAAUUUUUUAGUUAAAUACUCUUAACCUAGUUCCUAGGUUACCAAAUCAGUGGGUUACUCAAGGAGAACGACCCUAUAUAUAUAUAUAUAUAUAUAUAUAUAUUAAUAUGUUUAUAUACCCCUUUAUGUGCAACUUCAGUCAUGGAUUUUCACAUUACUUGUUUAUUGAAAUAAAUUUUAAUAUUUAAUUCUAUCGUGUUAUAAUAAUUAAAUCAUUGAAGAUUUGUUUAAAUUUAAAAAUUAGGUAUUAAUUAGACAUACUAAAAACUAAUAAUGAUUAUGAAUUCAAAUAUUUAAAUAUAAAUUUUGAUUUAAAUUAAAAAUCCCCGAAUCACCGCGGGUAUCCCCGAAUCCCGAUCGGGCCGGGUAUGGGGAUCAAAAAAUAAUCCCCGAUGGGGAUCGGGCCGGGGAUGGGUAAUUAGACAUACUAAAAACUAAUAAUGAUUAUGAAUUCAAAUAUUUAAAUAUAAAUUUUGAUUUAAAUUAAAAAUCCCCGAAUCACCGCGGGUAUCCCCGAAUCCCGAUAGGGCCGGGUAUGGGGAUCAAAAAAUAAUCCCCGAUGGGGAUCGGGCCGGGGAUGGGUAUUGGGAUUGAAUUCGGGGAUCGGGGCCGGAUAUAACAAUCCCCGACCCGAACUGACCCGAUGCCCAUCCCUAAGAACUACAUCAUCUUGUGUUGCUUUUACUGAUACAGAGCGUUUUAUUGGCGAUGCGGCUAGAAAUCAGGUUGCCCUCAAUCCGGAAAACACCAUCUUUGGUAGGCUAUCCUCUUUAGAAAUUUUGUUAUUGUCUUGAUUUUAUUUAUGUAUCUUUUGUUGACUAUUAGGUGAUCAAUUUGACCAAAUUUGAUUAUUAGUAAAAAAAAAUUAAUUAUUUAAAAAAAUCUGAAAAAUGGAUUUUGAAAGAGAAUUCAAUAUAUUUUGAUUAUUUUCUGAUAAAAUAAAUUUUUUAAUUUUUUUACAUUGGACAAUAUGUGUAAGUUGUGAUUAUAUUUAAUCAAUAUGAAUUUUCAAUAGUCAAAACAAGAAUUAGAGAUGGAGGGAGUAUUUGACUUUAGUAAUGUUUUUCUUCUAUACUACGGAGUACUGCUCCUAGUUGACUUUGGGCACGUAACUUCAAGGGCAUUGAUCCUGUAGUUCCGAAAUUUACUUUUUUAAUUUUUCUUUUGUAAACGAAAAUUUUAUAUUUAAAUUUUUAUUUGCAAAAAUAAAAUUUUUAAAAUAAAUAAUAUAGUUAUGUGGUCAAUGGACCUUAAAGUACGUGCCCAACGAGCUCAUCUAAUUUGGGAUGGAGGGAGUAUAGCAUAAUAAGUCGGCCUGCGCAAAAUUUUGGUUGUGUUUUUUUUUUUAUAACUACAAGUAUGCCACACAUGCAAUUCUCUUAGUCUUACAUCAUUAUACAAUUUUAUACGGUUUACUUUACAAACACAUGUGAUGUACAACAAGAUAAAAACUCCACCAUAAUUCUUUUAAAUAUAAUUUAUAAAAGGAAUAUCAUAAGAGCUAAAUUUUUAAAAGAAAAUAUAUCAAUAGGUUAAUAUAAAAUAAUUAAAUUUCAAUUUAUUAAUACUAAAUGGUUAAUAAAAUAAUAAUAAAAGUUUAAAUUAUAAAUAUUAAAUUUUGAACUAUAUAAAUUUUUACGAGAAAAUAUAUCAGUAGGUUAAUAUAAAAUAAUCAAAUUUCAAUCUGUUAAUACUAAAAUGUUAGUAAAAUAAUAUUAAAAUUCAAAUUAUAAAUAAUAAAUUUUGAACUAUUAAACUCCUGAGUUACUUAUAUAUAUAUCCGCUGAGUGCUUGUUAUACACUGCGAGAAGAUUAAAGAAAAAGGUUUAAGAACACAUAUUUUCCUAAGGGCCAACAUUUACAUGAAAUGAAGAUUAUCUAAUAUAAAGGCUUUGUUUGAAUUAAUUUGCGGGAGGAGUUAGAAAUUUAAAAGAACAAUUGAGACCGGUCUUAGAAAUAAACAAUGGGCCUGUUUGGGAAACGGAAACAGCUUCUACUUCUGGCUUCUGCUUUUCUUGACCCGUUUGUGUAAAGAAGCAGAAGUAUUUUUAAGAAACUGAGAAUGCUAACUUCUCUCUUACAGCUUCUGCUUCUUUUCCAAACACUUUAUUAGCUUAUUUACUUCACAUUUCUACUCCACUUCUUUACUUUAAGCAAAAAAUCAUUUUUUUUAAGCUUGGCCAAACGGCCCCAAUGUAUUUUGCGACUUGGAACAAAAUGUCUACUUUCUUGAUAGAUUUUUAUUGUUUUCACUUUUCAUGUAAACAGAUGCUAAGAGGUUAAUAGGAAGGAAAUUCACAGAUUCAACCGUACAAAGUGACCUGAAGGUCUGGCCAUUUAAGGUGAUUGAUAAGGACAACAAACCAAUGAUAGUUGUAAAUUACAAAGGUGUGGAGAAACUGUUUUCUCCUGAGGAGCUGUCUUCAAUGGUUCUUAUUAAGAUGAAGGAAAUCGCUGAAAAUUUUUUGGGAAAGAAAAUAAAAGAUGCUGUUGUCACUGUUCCUGCACACUUCAAUGACUCGCAGCGCCAGGCUACAAAAGAUGCAGGAACAAUAGCUGGCCUCAAUGUGUUGCGUAUCCUUGUUGAGCCUACAGCUGCUGCCGUAGCUUAUGGUCUUGAUCAAAAGCUUACAAAUACUUUGACUGGGGAGAAAAUCGUGCUCAUUUUUGAUCUGGGUGGCGGUACUUUUGAUGUUUCUUUACUUAAGAUCAAAAAGGAUAUAUUUGAAGUACUGGCUACAGCAGGGGACACUCACCUUGGAGGAGAAGACUUUGACAAUCGUAUGGUAAACCAUUUUGUUGAGGAAAUUAAAAUGAAGCACAAUAAAGACAUUAGCGUCAAUGCUAAAGCUUUAAGAAGACUGAGAAAUCAUUGUGAGAGGGCAAAGAGGAUUCUUUCUUGUAAUGCCAUGACAACUAUUGAUAUAGAUUCUUUGUACGAGGGAAUUGAUUACACUGGAAAAAUCAGCCGUGCAAAAUUUGAGGAUUUAAACAUGGAUAUGUUUAGAAGUUGUUUGGAUAUUGUGGAGAAGUGUCUCGAAGAUGGGGGGAUGGAGAAGAGCAGGGUCCAUGAUGUUGUUCUUGUGGGUGGAUCUACUAGAAUUCCCAAAGUGCAGCAGCUAUUGCAAGAAUUUUUUGAUGGGAACGAACUCUGCAAGAGUAUUAAUCCAGAUGAGGCUGUUGCUUGUGGUGCUGCUAUACAAGCUGCUGUACUAAGUGGUGCAACUGAAAAUAUUAUCAGAGAUAUAGUGCUGCUUGAUGUUAGUCCUCUUUCACUUGGAGUUGACAUGGAGGGUGAAGUGAUGAGUAUCAUAAUUCCAAGAAACACAACAAUUCCUACCAGCAAACAAAGCCAUUACAAUAAUUCUUGUGAUUACCAGAAAUCCAUCUUGUUUAAAGUGUACGAGGGUGAGAGACCGUGUUCCAAAGAUAACAACUUACUGGGUGAACUAAGACUCAAUGGCAUACCUUCUGGCCUGAGGGAUGAAGUUAAAGCUAGUGUUACGUUUGACAUUGAUCUAAAUGGGGUGUUACAUGUUACCGCGGAGUGUAAGAUUAAUGGGGUGAAGACGAAUGCAACAAUAACCAAC
rnacentral:lncRNA from 1 species